AGGGGUGUAGUAUAGUGGCUAGUAUAGAGAUCUCCAAAGUCUUAGGUGGUGGUUCGAUUCCAUCCACCCCUG